rnacentral:rRNA from 1 species
UACGUAGGGGGCAAGCGUUGUCCGGAAUUAUUGGGCGUAAAGAGCUCGUAGGCGGCUUGUCGCGUCGGCUGUGAAAACCUGGGGCUCAACCCCAGGCCUGCAGCCGAUACGGGCAAGCUAGAAUUCGGUAGGGGAGACUGGAAUUCCUGGUGUAGCGGUGAAGUGCGCAGAUAUCAGGAGGAACACCGGUGGCGAAGGCGGGUCUCUGGGCAGUAACUGACGCUGAGGAGCGAAAGCGUGGGGAGCGAACAGG